CUACCCUUGACAUGCCAGGAACUUUCCAGAGAUGGAUUGGUGCCCGAAAGGGAACCUGGACACAGGUGCUGCAUGGCUGUCGUCAGCUCGUGUCGUGAGAUGUUGGGUUAAGUCCCGCAACGAGCGCAACCCUUGUCAUUAAUCGCCAUCAUUUAGUUGGGCACUUUAAUGAGACUGCCGGUGAUAAACCGGAGGAAGGUGGGGAUGACGUCAAGUCCUCGUGGCCCUUAUGGGUAGGGCUUCGCACGUAAUACAAUGGUCGGUACAGAGGGUCGCCAACCCGCGAGGGGGAGCCAAUCUCAGAAAGCCGAUCGUAGUCCGGAUUGUUCUCUGCAACUCGAGAGCAUGAAGUCGGAAUCGCUAGUAAUCGCGGAUCAGCAUGUCGCGGUGAAUACGUUCC
rnacentral:rRNA from 1 species